CAAGCGUUAUCCGGAAUUACUGGGCGUAAAGCGCGUGCAGGCGGGUGGCCAAGUCAGGCAUGAAAGCUCCCGGCUAAACCGGGAGAGGUUGUCUGAAACUGGUCAUCUUGAGUACGGUAGAGGGGUACGGAAUUCCGCGUGUAGUGGUGAAAUGCGUAGAUAUGCGGAGGAACACCAGUGGCGAAGGCGGUACCCUGGACCGAGACUGACGCUGAGACGCGAAAGCGUGGGGAGCGAACGGGAUUAGAAACCCCGGUAGUCCACGCCGUAAACGAUGCACACUAGAUGUUCGUGCCCCUAAGGGGGCGGGAGUGUCGUAGCUAACGCGCUAAGUGUGCCGCCUGGGGAGUACGGUCGCAAGGCUAAAACUCAAAGGAAUUGACGGGGACCCGCACAAGCAGCGGAGCGUGUGGUUUAAUUCGAUGCUACGCGAAGAACCUUACCUGGGCUUGACAUGCUGGUAGUACCGAACCGAAAGGGGAGGGACCUACGGGAGCCAGCACAGGUGCUGCAUGGCUGUCGUCAGCUCGUGCCGUGAGGUGUUCGGUUAAGUCCGCAAACGAGCGCAACCCUUGCCGCUAGUUACAGGUGUCUAGCGGGACUGCCCGUGACAAACGGGAGGAAGGUGGGGAUGACGUCAAGUCAGCAUGGCCUUUAUGUCCAGGGCGACACACACGCUACAAUGGCCGGUACAAUAGGUCGCGAAGCCGCGAGGCGAAGCCAAUCCACCAAAGCCGGUCGUAGUUCGGAUUGCAGGCUGCAACUCGCCUGCAUGAAGUGGGAGUUGCUAGUAACCG
rnacentral:rRNA from 1 species